rnacentral:rRNA from 1 species
UGUCUUUUUGAAAAUAAUAUAAAGUCUAAUCUGCCCACUGAUUUAAUAAUUGAAGGGCUGCAGUAUAUUGACUGUACAAAGGUAGCAUAAUCAUUAGUCAUUUAAUUGAUGACUUGUAUGAAAGAUUGGAUGAGAUAUAAGCUGUCUCUUAAUUAAAUAUAGAAUUUAAUUUUUUAAUUAAAAAGUUAAAAUAGAUUAAAAAGACGAGAAGACCCUAUAGAGUUUUAUAAUUAAUUUAAUUAAGAUUAUUUAAUAAAAUAAAAUUGAAAUUAAGUUAUUUAUUUUGUUGGGGUGAUAGAAAAAUAUAUUUAACUUUUUUUUAAUUUUAAACAUUUAUAAGUGAUUAAAUGAUCCAAUAUUAUUGAUUAUAAGAAAAAAUUACCUUAGGGAUAACAGCGUAAUUUUUUUUUUUAGUUCAAAUAAGAAAAAGAGUUUGCGACCUCGAUGUUGGAUUAAGAUAAAAUUUAAAUGCAGAAG